rfam:Trichobilharzia regenti genome assembly, scaffold: TRE_scaffold0025561
UGGUAUGGUGGUGAGUAUCUCCGCCUGUCACGUGGAAGGCCCGGGUUCGAUUCCCGG